AGGGCGUAGGGUGAAUACCUUGGCAUCAAGAGCCGAUGAAGGACGUGAUAAGCUGCGAUAAGCUAUGGGUAGGAGCAAAUAUCCACUAAUCCAUAGAUCUCCGAAUGAGGAAACUCAACUAGUAACAAUAUACUAGUUAUCCAUACAUGAGUAAAGUAGUGUAUGAGAAGGGAACGUGGGGAACUGAAACAUCUUAGUACCCACAGGAAAAGAAAGAAAAUAUUCGAUUCCUAGAGUAGUGGCGAGCGAAAUAGGAAGAGCCCAAACUGUAAGUAGUAAUACAUACAGGGUUCGGACUGCAUAAUCGAUUUAAUGAGUUUAGUAGAAGUGUUUUGGAAAAGCACACCAUAGAUGGUGAAAGUCCAGUAUGCGAAAAGCGAGUUAACGAGGCAGUAUCCAGAGUAGCACGAGGCACGUGGAAUCUCGUGUGAAUGUGUGGGGACCAUCCCAUAAGGCUAAAUACUACUUGAUGACCGAUAGUGAACGAGUACCGUGAGGGAAAGGUGAAAAGAACCCCGGGAGGGGAGUGAAAUAGAAUUUGAAACCCUAUGUUUACAAGCAGACAAAGCACGUUAAGGUGCGAUGUCGUACUUUUUGUAGAACGGUCCAGCGAGUUAUUGUAUAUGGCAAGGUUAAAUACUAAGUAAGGUAUGGAGCCGAAGCGAAAGCGAGUGUUAAUAGCGCGUUUAAGUCAUAUGUAAUAGACCCGAAACCGAGUGACCUAUCCAUGGUCAGGAUGAAGCUAGAGUAAAAUCUAGUGGAGGUCCGAACUGAUUGUCGUUAAAAAGGCACCGGAUGAACUGUGGAUAGCGGAGAAAUUCCAAUCGAACUCGGAGAUAGCUGGUUCUCCUCGAAAUAGUUUUAGGACUAGCCUUGUUAAGUAGUAUAUGGGGGUAGAGCACUGAAGGAGCUAGGGGCCAAACCAGGUUACUGAACUCUAUCAAACUCCGAAUACCAUAUACGUAAAAACAGGAGUCAGACUGCGGGAGCUAAGUUCCGUGGUCAAAAGGGAAAGAGCCCAGAUCGUCAAUUAAGGUCCCAAAGAUAUAGCUAAGUGGAAAACGAUGUGAUUUUGCGUAAACAACCAGGAUGUUGGCUCAGAAGCAGCCACUCAUUCAAAGAGUGCGUAACAGCUCACUGGUCGAGUGAAAUUGCGCGGAAAAUUACCGGGGCUAAGCUAUACACCGAAAUUGCGGAUUCAAGGAUUUAUCCUUGAGUGGUAGAGGAGCAUUCUGUUGUAGGUUGAAGUAUGACCGUAAGGACAUGUGGACGAAGCAGAAGAGAGAAUGCUGGAAUAAGUAGCGAGAGCAAGGUGAGAAUCCUUGCCGUCGAAAGUCUAAGGUUUCCUGGGGAAGGUUCGUCCGCCCAGGGUUAGUCGGGACCUAAGGAGAGGCCGAGAGGCGUAUCUGAUGGACAGCAGGUUGAUAUUCCUGCACUAUAGAUAUACUUAAAAGAUGCAAGGGACGCAGAAGUGGAAGGAAUGCGAGGAAGAGGAAAAACUCGUAUCGAAAGAUAUAGUGAAAAUAAAGUAACGAAUUUCCAAGAAGCACGCUGACGAGAAAAGCUUGUAGAUAUUGUAUAUAAAUACCCGUACCGCAAACCGACACAGGUAGAUGAGGAGAGGAUCCUAAGACGAGCGGGAGAAGCAUUGUUAAGGAACUCGGCAAAUUGACCCCGUAACUUCGGAAUAAGGGGUGCCUAUGUAAAAGUAGGCCGCAGAGAAUAGGCCCAAGCAACUGUUUAACAAAAACACAGGUUUCUGCUAAAUCGAAAGAUGAAGUAUAGGAGCUGACGCCUGCCCAGUGCUGGAAGGUUAAGGGGAAGAGUUAAGACUUGAUCUGAAGCUUAGAACCAAAGCCCCAGUGAACGGCGGCCGUAACUAUAACGGUCCUAAGGUAGCGAAAUUCCUUGUCAGGUAAGUUCUGACCCGCACGAAAAGUGUAAUGAUCUGGGAACUGUCUCAACCAUAGACUCGGUGAAAUCUUAAUACCUGUGAAAAUGCAGGUUACCCGCGACAGGACGGAAAGACCCCAUGGAGCUUUACUGUAGCUUGAUAUUGGAUCUCGAUGUGUUAUGUAGAGGAUAGGUGGGAGACUAUGAUGUUAGGACGCUAGUUCUAACGGAGUCAACCUUGGAAUACCACCCUUAGCAUGUUGAGAUUCUAACCUCGACCCAUUAUCUGGGUCAGGGACAGUGUCUGGUGGGCAGUUUGACUGGGGCGGUCGCCUCCCAAAAAGUAACGGAGGCGCUCAAAGGUUCCCUCAGAAUGGUUGGAAAUCAUUCGAAGAGCGUAAUGGUAUAAGGGAGCUUUACUGCGAGACCUACAAGUCAAGCAGUUACGAAAGUAGGACAUAGUGGGCCGGCGAUUCAGAAUGGAAUGGUCGUCGCUUAACGGAUAAAAGUUACCCUGGGGAUAACAGGCUGAUACCACCCAAUAGUUCACAUAGACGGUGGUGAUUGGCACCUCGAUGUCGGCUCGUCACAUCCUGGAGCUGGAUUCGGUUCCAAGGGUUGGGCUGUUCGCCCAUUAAAGUGGCACGCGAGCUGGGUUCAGAACGUCGUGAGACAGUUCGGUCCCUAUCUGUUGUGGGCGCAGGAAAUUUGCGAGGCUCUGACACUAGUACGAGAGGACCGUGUUGGACCGGCCGCUGGUUUAUCAGUUGUUCCGCCAGGAGCACUGCUGAGUAGCUAAGCCGGGAUUGGAUAAGUGCUGAAAGCAUCUAAGUACGAAGCCAGCCUCAAGAUAAGAUUUCCCUAGAGGGUCGUUGCAGACGACGACGUAGAUAGGUUGCAGGUGUAAAGGCAGUAAUGCCAAAGCCGAGCAAAACUAAUCACCCGAGACUUUCUGUA
rnacentral:rRNA from 1 species